ACGGUCGCAAGACUAAAACUCAAAGGAAUUGACGGGGACCCGCACAAGCGGUGGAGCAUGUGGUUUAAUUCGAUGCAACGCGAAAAACCUUACCACUCCUUGACAUGGAGAUUAGAUCCUUCUUAACGGAAGGGCGCAGUUCGGCUGGAUCUCGCACAGGUGCUGCAUGGCUGUCGUCAGCUCGUGUCGUGAGAUGUUGGGUUAAGUCCCGCAACGAGCGUAACCCUCAUCCUUAGUUGCCAGCGGGUAAUGCCGGGCACUUUAAGGAAACUGCCGGUGGUAAACUGGAGGAAGGUGGGGAUGAUGUCAAGUCAGCACGGCCCUUAUGGGGUGGGCUACACACGUGCUACAAUGGUGACUACAAUAGGUUGCAAUGUCGCAAGGCUGAGCUAAUCCGUAAAAGUCAUCUCAGUUCGGAUUGUCCUCUGCAACUCGAGGGCAUGAAGUCGGAAUCGCUAGUAAUCGUGGAUCAUCAUGCCACGGUGAAUACGUUCUCGGGUCUUGUACACACUGCCCGUCACGCCAUGGGAAUUGGCUUAACUCGAAGCUGGUGCGCUAACCGAA
rnacentral:rRNA from 1 species